CUGGUCGGAGGGUGGGAUCCGGUGACUUUCGACCCCAUCGCUGACGUCCGGGUGCUGGAUCUCGGCACCGGCGAGUGGCGGCGGGGGGCGCCGAUGGCGGCGGCGAGAUCCUUCUUCGCCUGCGCGGCGGUGGAGGGGAGAGUCUACGUCGCCGGCGGGCACGACGGGCAGAAGAACGCGCUCCGGUCGGCGGAGGUGUACGAUGUAGCGGCGGAUCAGUGGGCGGCGCUGCCGCCGCUGGCGGAGGAGAGGGAUGAGUGCCGCGGCAUGGCGGCGGCCGGCGGCCGGUUCUGGGCGGUGAGUGGAUACAAAACUGAGAGUCAGGGAUUGUUCGAUUCAUCAGCGGAGUGCUUCGAUCCGGCGAAGAAUGAGUGGAGCAAGGAAGAGGAAUUUCUCGGCAGCGCCGCCCCGUCUUCUGCCACUGCUGUUGUUUCUAUCGGGG
rnacentral:misc_RNA from 1 species